UUUCUAAUAAGUAAUAACCAUUGUGUCCGGCGCUUUCGCACCCCUCGAUUGAAUACACAACAAACUUGUUACCUCCCACACUCACACACUUUCGCUGUUUUUUUUUCCUUGUAGUUCUUUUUAUGUGAAGUUUAGAACACAAAUUGUGCAAUUGUAAUGUUGUAGUAGAUUGGGAGGGUACAGAGUCAUCUAAAUAUUGUUUUGUUAAAGGGGCGGCAUAGGCUUUUUGUGGCUAUAUUAAUCACCAACCAGACUGUUCACAAGCCAUAGCAAUUCUAACGCUGAAUUGCUAUCAGAGAUGGAUCCAAAACUCGGAUGUUUUAAGUGCCACACCGCUUUGAAAAAUGAGAUUUAUGAAGCAAUCCAACUUGUUUCAUGAAUUACUGAAGUCAAAUACACUUGCAAGUAGCCGUUUUCUUGGGUUGGAUGUGGGCGAUAAGUACGUUGGUCUAGCUGUUUCGGACACAACAAAUAAAGUUGCAUCACCUCUCGCUGUUCUCCGCCGCAAGAGAACAAAUAUUGACUUGAAGGCCAAAGAUUUACAAAGUCUGGCUUUGUACAUUAAGUUCUUCAUUGACAACCUUUGUAAGACGGGGAACUUAAAGGUAUAAACUACACCUUUAUGGAUGAAGGCUUCACAUCUAAGAUGACGGACUUAUGGAGGACAAUUGAGCUUGAACCUUCUUAAAUUCGUGGAUAUGGAUCCAAGUAUGGCUACGAGCGCGGUGAUUCGGCUAAAAAUGAUUUAAAUAUCUAAAAAACAGAAUUAUAUGUCUAAAUUUUGGGCAUUAUGUGGAAAACUUGCAAGGUAUUCUAAGGAAAAAAUAUUGAUCAAGAGGAGAAUCCCAAAAGGUGAUAUGAGGAAAAUGACUGGAAUAGAAAUUUUUAUAUACAAGGUAUGGAUCCCACAGCCACACCCAUGUCAUGUCGACACCGAUGCGGCACCGAAGCGUGAAGAGUCCGAGCAACUUAGGAUCUCAUUCCUCCCCACCCUCCGCAACUGUUUGUCUUUGAUCAUUUAGUAUUAUCUAUUGAAUUGAGAAAUGACCAACAAUUAUUGGUAUUGUUUUGUUUUCAGAAUGUCGAGUCGUUUCUACAAGAUUUAAAGUUUCGCCCAACACAGUUGAAGACCUUGUUAGACAAAUUUGCAGCAGUUGGAAUACUUCAGGGGUACCUCGAUUAUGUUAACAGGAAACAAGCGAAGAAGGCUCUUAUUAGCUUGGUGCCUAAUACAAGCCUGCAACUGAUUUAAGUUAAUUUCUUCAAAGGAGGGAUGUGUAUCUAUCUGCUGUUGGGUUCAUAAAAGUGUGAAUGAAAAAUGUAGAAAAAAAUGCUGGAGAAGAGGAGACACCAAUUUGGAAAGUAUACUCCCAAAAUUGAAAAGUUCACUAAUUCUCCCACAUUGGUGGGAGAAAGGAACUUUGGAGUGUUUAUAAUGAUAAACACUUACUCUAUAUGGUAAGUGAGGCAAGAAAUAAGAGAUGUCUCACGCUGUCGUCAUUGACGCUCAAAUUUGGAUUCGGAUUUGUCAAAUGAUCGAUGAGACUUAUCUUUUUGGACAAAAUUUAUUUGAAUUUCGAAAAUAUCAAUAGUAACGCAGUAAAUAUUUUCUGUGUUUAA